GCGCCUAUAGCUCAAUUGGUUAGAGCGUCAAGCUUAUACCUUGAUGGUUCUAGGUUCGAGUCCUAGUGGGCGCAC
rnacentral:tRNA from 15 species